UAGGGAAUCUUCCGCAAUGGGCGAAAGCCUGACGGAGCAACGCCGCGUGAGUGAUGAAGGUCUUCGGAUCGUAAAACUCUGUUAUCAGGGAAGAACAAAUGUGUAAGUAACUGUGCACAUCUUGACGGUACCUGAUCAGAAAGCCACGGCUAACUACGUGCCAGCAGCCGCGGUAAUACGUAGGUGGCAAGCGUUAUCCGGAAUUAUUGGGCGUAAAGAGCGCGUAGGCGGUUUUUUAAGUCUGAUGUGAAAGCCCACGGCUCAACCGUGGAGGGUCAUUGGAAACUGGAAAACUUGAGUGCAGAAGAGGAAAGUGGAAUUCCAUGUGUAGCGGUGAAAUGCGCAGAGAUAUGGAGGAACACCAGUGGCGAAGGCGACUUUCUGGUCUGUAACUGACGCUGAUGUGCGAAAGCGUGGGGAUCAAACA
rnacentral:rRNA from 1 species